AAAACAUUGCUAUUAUAAUCAUGCUACACACACACACGGGGGAAGGCUCUUCUUGCAAAACACACACUUAAAAAAGCGGGGAUUUACUACGCACCACAAACAACAUAACCUGCUGUUUACUACAAGAAGAGUAAACAAACACUAGGAACCAACUCACAGCUCCUUUUCAUGCAAUUCCUCUCUCUGCUGGCAGGCCAGGGCUGCAUCUCUGAAAACAUAUUGGAAAUAAAUCACAAGAAGCUCCAUUCAGAUGAAGCAAAGCGUUGUAAAUAUGAAUUAAUCAUGUGUGAAUGGCCAGCAAAGACGGGCCGUGUGUCUUCCUCACGCAAAGCAAUGAUUUGAUGGAGCCAGCCUCUUCCUCUGAAUAAUACAUGGAUUGUUUUUGCUUGGGAGAGACACGAGGGAAUCAGAACGCCAGGAUGGUUCGAGUUGGGAGGGACAUUGCACUUUUGGGGGCGUCUCCAUCCAGGGAAUUUCGAGGGAAAGCGAAGUGUUUAUCCUGCUGGGAACCACGAGAGCGCAGCAUUGCCCUUCGCUAGGCUGCUGCUCACAGGGAGAAUGCGGGUUCCUUGUAGGUGAACGCAAAUUACACAACCCACGAGGUGGAAAGUGGAAAGUCCUGCGCUUUCUUGACGGAAUACAGGCCGUUGGCUUUUCAGAACCAGCAAUGUUUCUGGCACAUCUGUGUGUGGCGGUGAAGGAGUGAGUGACUUAGACCUGGGAGCUCUCCUGGAUUGUUUUCCCAAGCCUCAUAUGUCCAUCUUCUGCAGAACUUUUGAUUGAAUUGCAGUGAGUCACCAUCAGGGCCAGGAUGGCCAGGUCAGACAAGGAUGUCUUCAGGGAGCCAGCAGGGCUCUGCAUGUGCUGAAUGGAGUGGUCCCAAACUCCUCAGGAAUAAGUGACUGCAUCAGAGAGAAGAGAGGGAAUCGGGUUCAAAAGCAGGGCUGGGUGGAAUCUGCAUUUCUGUGACCUCCUGGGAAGUGAAGUGCCUGGUGGCCAGUGGUCCCUGCACACCAGAGCCAGCUCCACCACCUCUGUGUGCUCCAGCGUUUUCCUCUGGAUCCCAUGGCCACGCUCCUGAGACGAGUGCCUGUGCCAUUCAUCACACCGGCAGCACGAGAGCAACUGGAAAAAGUGUCUGGAAUUUAUCACCGAUGGC